rnacentral:rRNA from 1 species
GAUGAAUGCUGGCGGCGUGCCUAACACAUGCAAGUCGAGCGGCAGCGAGGGGUGCUUGCACCCUGUCGGCGAGCGGCGAACGGCUGAGUAACGCGUAGGAAUUUGCCCCAAAGUGAGGAAUAACUGCCCGAAAGGGUAGCUAAUGCCGCAUAUGGUCUUCGGAUUAAAGGAUUUAUCCGCUUUGGGAGAAGCCUGCGUUGGAUUAGGUUGUUGGUAGGGUAAUGGCCUACCAAGCCGACGAUCCAUAGCUGGUCUGAGAGGAUGAUCAGCCAGACUGGAACUGAGACACGGUCCAGACUCCUACGGGAGGCAGCAGUGAGGAAUCUUCCACAAUGGGCGAAAGCCUGAUGGAGCAACGCCGCGUGAAGGAUGAAGGCCUUCGGGUUGUAAACUUCUUUUAUGAGUGAAGAAUAUGACGGUAACUCAUGAAUAAGCACCGGCUAACUACG